ACCAAUAUUUUUGUAGCGGAACUUCUUUAUUACAAAAGGUUACAAGUUACAUCAAAUUUACAUUAUGUUUAUCGGAGUUAUUACAAAGUGAUUCAAAGAAAUAAACUUUGAAAUGUUAUAAAUUACUUGUAAGUUUAAAAUAGAUGCUAGCUUAAGUGACCAUCCUCAAUAAGAAGUAUAGAAGAAGUUACUUAGACUUAUAAGAAGGCCGAGCCCACCGGCACUUAGCACCAUCCACAGCAACACACUUCUAAUUUUGGUUCUUCCUUCUUCUGGGGAAACACCUUUGCACAAAAGUGGCAAAGCUUCGCAGGCUCUUCACCUAAAACAACAUGGGACAAAGCCCUGAGUACGAAGUGUACUUUCGCAAGUCUUACCCGACUAAGGAAAAAGACUCUCAAGGAUAUGCUGGAUUUAGGAAUCAAGGAGAGGCUUUUAGCAAGAAUCAACUUAGAUACUUUUGCAGAAAAAGCUUACUAAAGUGAGUCCUUACUUUCAAUAUUUUAAUGCCAGAUUAAAUAUUAAUAGACUCUGUUUGCACCUAGUCUAAUUUCACCAUCUCAUCAAUACAACAUCAUUUUUACUCAUAAUGUUUACAUCCUGACUUAGGUUGUAGGUCGGAGAUCAAGUCUCCACUCUCCGGGGAUAUAACGGCGAUCCGAAUCGAUUUACUCAGCUGAGGAUCUCUAACCACACGACAUAUGUAGCACUUAACCCUUGCAUAUGUCAACUGUUCCCACAGAUCCUCCACAACGUGAACCGGUCCGCGCUACCCGGGAGCACAGUACUCCUCCAUCCAGCCUCUAGCCAGGAGGGUACACGCUACUCCCACCAUCUCCCAUGCCCAGUGCGCGGUUGUCUUUUCACGUAUGGAAUAGCCGGGUUCAAACUUACCCUGUCCCAUUUCCAGGGCAUGUGGCUAGUUAAGAUAGUCCUUGAUCAACAGGCCUACAUACGCAUCCAAUCCUUAAUUAACCUGGGCGGAGCAUCACCUGUUCCUAACCCAAGUCCCGAUUUAAGUACUUCCAUCCUUAGGAUUGUUUGUAUUCCUUAGGAUGAAAAGAGCAUUAUAGGGAACUUUGCAGUAAGAUCCCACCACGUUCCCAAUGAAAAAUAUUCUUGCAGGUAGAAGCCAUCUUUCCUCAGGAUAACCCCUGAGCUAGGCCUUAAUGCAAAAGACAACCUCUAUCCACAAGAUCUAAGCAGGGAUAAGCAUUUUUGUAAAUCAUAUUUUGAUACUUCAUCAGAAGUAUCUAUAAAGGUAUGGAUAUCAAGGUAAGCAAUGCAUCAAAGGGUUUCCAAGCAACUCCUAUAAACCUAAUGCACAUUUCACUAGACUUAAAGUGUGCAAACAUUAUUUAAAAACACAAGGAAGGGGUUGCAUGCACCGGGGCUUGCCUUUGUUGCAGUGAAGUGGUUCUAGAUCCCUCUAUUCAAUACCCAGUUAGAUGGCUUCAUCCACUUGAGGAGCAGGCGUUGGAGUAGACUUCUUCAAAUACCACCUCGUCUAGGUGUUCUACAAGUCAAUUACAAAUACAUGAAUGCUUAUGUAAUGACAUGUAAUGCAAACUCUCACAAGGAGAGGUGGGGAACAGAAACACUACAACUAAAGCACAUGACAAGAAUACACCUAUUUCUUAACGCUCGAUUAAAGUGACCAAUUUGAAUUCACUUAGGUAAACCAGAGAACUAAUCCAUCUUUGAUCUCAUCCAAAAGUGUAAAACUUCAUAAGCAACUGCAUCUCUUCCCUAAAUAAACUUAGCUCCUUUCCAAAGCAUUAAUUCAUACUUGAUUAGGGAUUUUCUCACCCUAUUUGUGACUUUACAAUGCUUUCUAAGAAAAAGGUUUCUAAAAAGGCUCCAAAUUUUAACAAGUGCUCACUUUAUGAUAACAAGUCUUUCCAAGAAUUUCCAUGAUUUUUGGUGCUCAACUCUGAUUUCAAAAAUUCCAAUAAUCCUUCCAAAGACACCUUUGAUUCACUUAAAAUUUGCUAACUGAUCUAAAAAUCCUAAAACCAUUCUUAUCUGAGAUCUCAUGAAUUUAGACAUCCAACAAAAUUGAUCUCACUAUUUUUGGAUUUUUCUACAAUUUCUAGCACAAUUUAUAAGUUCUCUGUUAAAGAAAAUACCAAAAUAUGAACAGCAUUGGGCCCAAACUAGACCACACCGCCCAAGUUGUGCAGAGCCGACCCAUGGCUGACAGCUCGCACCCACGCCGUGCGCGCUUUGCAAAAAGAACCUCGUUGCCCAGACAAAUCCAAACGAGCCCGAGCCACUGUUAAUUGGUGUCACUGACAGUUUCGCUUAGAUCCCUCGACUUCAUCUCUUUUGCACAAACUCAGUCGCGACACCGUCGUGCUCAACCCCGGCGGUCAGACGUCCGAUCCGCCACGGUGGUGUGACCUAGUCAACGACGACGGCACCAUCACGAUCCCUAGGCAACGGUGGACUCCAACCUGUGUUCAAUCGACCGCGGGGACACUAAGACCUAACUACCGAUGGCGGCGGCGACAAACCCAGUUCAGUGGGCUCAAUUCUAUGGGGACGGUCUGCAGCGGCGCGACCCUGUUCCGGUCAACACAAGACGGUAGAACUGAAAUUACCAAUGGGAAAACCUUCACUGACCUUAGAAGAACGUGGAACGAGGGUCAUGCGGGCUGGUCACUCCUUGAGACGUCUUGGCCACGGCGAGGUAGGCAGUCAGUGGGCGUGGUCACCACUGACAGAGGGAUGGCAUACUAGACCCUGGGACUGGGCAAACUUGGGCAGGGGAGAGGUGAACACUGGUGCGGACAGAAGACCUACCACACUCACACACGCUGCAAUCUGGCUGGAGCUUGAGGAUAGGGAGGAAAACUUCCCUGGACCAAGUUUUAUAGCCACAGAUUAAGGGCAGAUGUCAUUGAACCUGUGCACUGCAUGGAGGUGAAGAGCAGCUAGAGAUGCCAGCACAACCUGGG
rnacentral:lncRNA from 1 species